rnacentral:rRNA from 1 species
GUGCAUGGCCGCCGUCAGUUCGUACCGUAAGGCGUUCUGUUAAGUCAGAUAACGAACGAGACCUCCGUCACCAUUUGCUAUCCUCUUCUCCGGAAGGGGAGCACUAUGGUGGUACCGCCACUGUUAAAGUGGAGGAAGGAGGGGGCAACGGUAGGUCAGUAUGCCCCGAAUCUCCCGGGCUACACGCGCGCUACAAAGGGCAGGACAAUGGGCUUCGACACCGAAAGGUGAAGGCAAUCCUGAAACCUGCUCGUAAUUCGGAUUGAGGGCUGCAAUUCGCCCUCAUGAAGCUGGAAUACGUAGUAAUCGCGGGUCAACAUCCCGCGGUGAAUAUGCCCCUGCUCCUUGCACACACCGCCCGUCAAACCACCUUAGUUGGGUCUGGACGAGGGUUUGUCUUCUGACACGCUCGAAUCUGGGUUCAGCGAGGAGGGUUAAGUCGUAACAAGGUAUCCGU